UGGUUCUGGCAUNGAUGAAGAACGCAGCGAAAUGCGAUAAGUAAUGUGAAUUGCAGAAUUCAGUGAAUCAUCGAGUUUUUGAACGCACAUUGCGCCCCUUGGUAGUCCGAGGGGCAUGCCCGUUCGAGCGUCAUGUCCACCAUCAAGCCUGGCUUGGUAUUGGGUCACGGGGGCGACCCGGACCCCAACGUCUCCGGCUGGAGGUGUCCCGAUCGCAGCGUGGUGAUUUAACAAAUUCGCUGCCGAGACGGGCGCCCUGCGCCGUGAAACAUUUUACGCAGUUUGACCUCGGAUCGGGUAGGGAUACCCGCUGA
rnacentral:misc_RNA from 1 species